UGUUCUGGUGUUCUGGUUUUCUUUUUCGUCCGUGUUGGUUCUAUCUACUACCUGAGCCAACGGUAUUGAAUGUAAACAUUAAUAAACGAGGCACGCCAUUAUGAAAAUGUAUUGCAAAAAUCAUCAAGAUGACAAGGAAUGUGCAAAUCACAUAAAAUUCCCCAAAUGUGCCAUGUUUGCAGAUACAUUUCUUAAUGCGCAAUGGAAACAAUUUCUACUUCGAUUUGUACUGCCUGAGCCAAUAUUCUUCAAUGUUAACAUUAAUAUACGAGGCACUCCAUUAUGAAAAUGUAUUUGAAAAAUCAUCAAGAAGACAAGGAAUGUGCAAAUGACAUACAAUUCCCAAGUGUGCCAUGGUUGCAGGUUCAUUUGUUAAUGCGUAAUUGUAGCAAUUUCGUUCGUAAAAGACUGAGUCUCGCUGUAUUGCUCAGGCCGAACUCCAGCGUCUAUUCACAGGUGCUAUCCAACUACUGAUCGAUACGGGGGCUUUGACCUGCUCCGUUUCCGACCUGGGCCGGUGCACCCCUCCUGAGACGACCUGGUGAUCUCGGGCUCCCCCAGGAGCACCAUAUCGACACCGAUCUUAGUGUGGACAUCCGCUCGUCAUAGCUCACUGCAGCCCCGAUCCCCUGAACUCAAACGAUCCGCCAGUCUCAGCCUCCCAGAUGCUUGGACUACAGGGGCACGCCACUGCUCCCGGCGAAAGCAGAGGCGCUGUGCAUUGGGUUUGGGUUUGGUUUUGGAUUAUGUCAGCAUGCCAGAUUACCGAAUGUGCUUGAAAAUGAGUCAUUGUUCUGGUGUUCUGGUUUUCUUUUUCGUCCGUGUUGGUUCUAUCUACUACCUGAGCCAACGGUAUUGAAUGUAAACAUUAAUAAACGAGGCACGCCAUUAUGAAAAUGUAUUGCAAAAAUCAUCAAGAUGACAAGGAAUGUGCAAAUCACAUAAAAUUCCCCAAAUGUGCCAUGUUUGCAGAUACAUUUCUUAAUGCGCAAUGGAAACAAUUUCUACUUCGAUUUGUACUGCCUGAGCCAAUAUUCUUCAAUGUUAACAUUAAUAUACGAGGCACUCCAUUAUGAAAAUGUAUUUGAAAAAUCAUCAAGAAGACAAGGAAUGUGCAAAUGACAUACAAUUCCCAAGUGUGCCAUGGUUGCAGGUUCAUUUGUUAAUGCGUAAUUGUAGCAAUUUCGUUCGUAAAAGACUGAGUCUCGCUGUAUUGCUCAGGCCGAACUCCAGCGUCUAUUCACAGGUGCUAUCCAACUACUGAUCGAUACGGGGGCUUUGACCUGCUCCGUUUCCGACCUGGGCCGGUGCACCCCUCCUGAGACGACCUGGUGAUCUCGGGCUCCCCCAGGAGCACCAUAUCGACACCGAUCUUAGUGUGGACAUCCGCUCGUCAUAGCUCACUGCAGCCCCGAUCCCCUGAACUCAAACGAUCCGCCAGUCUCAGCCUCCCAGAUGCUUGGACUACAGGGGCACGCCACUGCUCCCGGCGAAAGCAGAGGCGCUGUGCAUUGGGUUUGGGUUUGGUUUUGGAUUAUGUCAGCAUGCCAGAUUACCGAAUGUGCUUGAAAAUGAGUCAUUGUUCUGGUGUUCUGGUUUUCUUUUUCGUCCGUGUUGGUUCUAUCUACUACCUGAGCCAACGGUAUUGAAUGUAAACAUUAAUAAACGAGGCACGCCAUUAUGAAAAUGUAUUGCAAAAAUCAUCAAGAUGACAAGGAAUGUGCAAAUCACAUAAAAUUCCCCAAAUGUGCCAUGUUUGCAGAUACAUUUCUUAAUGCGCAAUGGAAACAAUUUCUACUUCGAUUUGUACUGCCUGAGCCAAUAUUCUUCAAUGUUAACAUUAAUAUACGAGGCACUCCAUUAUGAAAAUGUAUUUGAAAAAUCAUCAAGAAGACAAGGAAUGUGCAAAUGACAUACAAUUCCCAAGUGUGCCAUGGUUGCAGGUUCAUUUGUUAAUGCGUAAUUGUAGCAAUUUCGUUCGUAAAAGACUGAGUCUCGCUGUAUUGCUCAGGCCGAACUCCAGCGUCUAUUCACAGGUGCUAUCCAACUACUGAUCGAUACGGGGGCUUUGACCUGCUCCGUUUCCGACCUGGGCCGGUGCACCCCUCCUGAGACGACCUGGUGAUCUCGGGCUCCCCCAGGAGCACCAUAUCGACACCGAUCUUAGUGUGGACAUCCGCUCGUCAUAGCUCACUGCAGCCCCGAUCCCCUGAACUCAAACGAUCCGCCAGUCUCAGCCUCCCAGAUGCUUGGACUACAGGGGCACGCCACUGCUCCCGGCGAAAGCAGAGGCGCUGUGCAUUGGGUUUGGGUUUGGUUUUGGAUUAUGUCAGCAUGCCAGAUUACCGAAUGUGCUUGAAAAUGAGUCAUUGUUCUGGUGUUCUGGUUUUCUUUUUCGUCCGUGUUGGUUCUAUCUACUACCUGAGCCAACGGUAUUGAAUGUAAACAUUAAUAAACGAGGCACGCCAUUAUGAAAAUGUAUUGCAAAAAUCAUCAAGAUGACAAGGAAUGUGCAAAUCACAUAAAAUUCCCCAAAUGUGCCAUGUUUGCAGAUACAUUUCUUAAUGCGCAAUGGAAACAAUUUCUACUUCGAUUUGUACUGCCUGAGCCAAUAUUCUUCAAUGUUAACAUUAAUAUACGAGGCACGCCAUUAUGAAAAUGUAUUUGAAAAAUCAUCAAGAAGACAAGGAAUGUGCAAAUGACAUACAAUUCCCAAGUGUGCCAUGGUUGCAGGUUCAUUUGUUAAUGCGUAAUUGUAGCAAUUUCGUUCGUAAAAGACUGAGUCUCGCUGUAUUGCUCAGGCCGAACUCCAGCGUCUAUUCACAGGUGCUAUCCAACUACUGAUCGAUACGGGGGCUUUGACCUGCUCCGUUUCCGACCUGGGCCGGUGCACCCCUCCUGAGACGACCUGGUGAUCUCGGGCUCCCCCAGGAGCACCAUAUCGACACCGAUCUUAGUGUGGACAUCCGCUCGUCAUAGCUCACUGCAGCCCCGAUCCCCUGAACUCAAACGAUCCGCCAGUCUCAGCCUCCCAGAUGCUUGGACUACAGGGGCACGCCACUGCUCCCGGCGAAAGCAGAGGCGCUGUGCAUUGGGUUUGGGUUUGGUUUUGGAUUAUGUCAGCAUGCCAGAUUACCGAAUGUGCUUGAAAAUGAGUCAUUGUUCUGGUGUUCUGGUUUUCUUUUUCGUCCGUGUUGGUUCUAUCUACUACCUGAGCCAACGGUAUUGAAUGUAAACAUUAAUAAACGAGGCACGCCAUUAUGAAAAUGUAUUGCAAAAAUCAUCAAGAUGACAAGGAAUGUGCAAAUCACAUAAAAUUCCCCAAAUGUGCCAUGUUUGCAGAUACAUUUCUUAAUGCGCAAUGGAAACAAUUUCUACUUCGAUUUGUACUGCCUGAGCCAAUAUUCUUCAAUGUUAACAUUAAUAUACGAGGCACUCCAUUAUGAAAAUGUAUUUGAAAAAUCAUCAAGAAGACAAGGAAUGUGCAAAUGACAUACAAUUCCCAAGUGUGCCAUGGUUGCAGGUUCAUUUGUUAAUGCGUAAUUGUAGCAAUUUCGUUCGUAAAAGACUGAGUCUCGCUGUAUUGCUCAGGCCGAACUCCAGCGUCUAUUCACAGGUGCUAUCCAACUACUGAUCGAUACGGGGGCUUUGACCUGCUCCGUUUCCGACCUGGGCCGGUGCACCCCUCCUGAGACGACCUGGUGAUCUCGGGCUCCCCCAGGAGCACCAUAUCGACACCGAUCUUAGUGUGGACAUCCGCUCGUCAUAGCUCACUGCAGCCCCGAUCCCCUGAACUCAAACGAUCCGCCAGUCUCAGCCUCCCAGAUGCUUGGACUACAGGGGCACGCCACUGCUCCCGGCGAAAGCAGAGGCGCUGUGCAUUGGGUUUGGUUUUGGAUUAUGUCAGCAUGCCAGAUUACCGAAUGUGCUUGAAAAUGAGUCAUUGUUCUGGUGUUCUGGUUUUCUUUUUCGUCCGUGUUGGUUCUAUCUACUACCUGAGCCAACGGUAUUGAAUGUAAACAUUAAUAAACGAGGCACGCCAUUAUGAAAAUGUAUUGCAAAAAUCAUCAAGAUGACAAGGAAUGUGCAAAUCACAUAAAAUUCCCCAAAUGUGCCAUGUUUGCAGAUACAUUUCUUAAUGCGCAAUGGAAACAAUUUCUACUUCGAUUUGUACUGCCUGAGCCAAUAUUCUUCAAUGUUAACAUUAAUAUACGAGGCACUCCAUUAUGAAAAUGUAUUUGAAAAAUCAUCAAGAAGACAAGGAAUGUGCAAAUGACAUACAAUUCCCAAGUGUGCCAUGGUUGCAGGUUCAUUUGUUAAUGCGUAAUUGUAGCAAUUUCGUUCGUAAAAGACUGAGUCUCGCUGUAUUGCUCAGGCCGAACUCCAGCGUCUAUUCACAGGUGCUAUCCAACUACUGAUCGAUACGGGGGCUUUGACCUGCUCCGUUUCCGACCUGGGCCGGUGCACCCCUCCUGAGACGACCUGGUGAUCUCGGGCUCCCCCAGGAGCACCAUAUCGACACCGAUCUUAGUGUGGACAUCCGCUCGUCAUAGCUCACUGCAGCCCCGAUCCCCUGAACUCAAACGAUCCGCCAGUCUCAGCCUCCCAGAUGCUUGGACUACAGGGGCACGCCACUGCUCCCGGCGAAAGCAGAGGCGCUGUGCAUUGGGUUUGGCUUUGGUUUUGGAUUAUGUCAGCAUGCCAGAUUACCGAAUGUGCUUGAAAAUGAGUCAUUGUUCUGGUUAAAAUAAAAAUAUCCAACAACAUUUUCAGAUUCAAUGCAAGAGGUUUUCUUUUUCGUCCGUGUUGGUUCUAUCUACUACCUGAGCCAACGGUAUUGAAUGUAAACAUUAAUAAACGAGGCACGCCAUUAUGAAAAUGUAUUGCAAAAAUCAUCAAGAUGACAAGGAAUGUGCAAAUCACAUAAAAUUCCCCAAAUGUGCCAUGUUUGCAGAUACAUUUCUUAAUGCGCAAUGGAAACAAUUUCUACUUCGAUUUGUACUGCCUGAGCCAAUAUUCUUCAAUGUUAACAUUAAUAUACGAGGCACUCCAUUAUGAAAAUGUAUUUGAAAAAUCAUCAAGAAGACAAGGAAUGUGCAAAUGACAUACAAUUCCCAAGUGUGCCAUGGUUGCAGGUUCAUUUGUUAAUGCGUAAUUGUAGCAAUUUCGUUCGUAAAAGACUGAGUCUCGCUGUAUUGCUCAGGCCGAACUCCAGCGUCUAUUCACAGGUGCUAUCCAACUACUGAUCGAUACGGGGGCUUUGACCUGCUCCGUUUCCGACCUGGGCCGGUGCACCCCUCCUGAGACGACCUGGUGAUCUCGGGCUCCCCCAGGAGCACCAUAUCGACACCGAUCUUAGUGUGGACAUCCGCUCGUCAUAGCUCACUGCAGCCCCGAUCCCCUGAACUCAAACGAUCCGCCAGUCUCAGCCUCCCAGAUGCUUGGACUACAGGGGCACGCCACUGCUCCCGGCGAAAGCAGAGGCGCUGUGCAUUGGGUUUGGCUUUGGUUUUGGAUUAUGUCAGCAUGCCAGAUUACCGAAUGUGCUUGAAAAUGAGUCAUUGUUCUGGUGUUCUGGUUUUCUUUUUCGUCCGUGUUGGUUCUAUCUACUACCUGAGCCAACGGUAUUGAAUGUAAACAUUAAUAAACGAGGCACGCCAUUAUGAAAAUGUAUUGCAAAAAUCAUCAAGAUGACAAGGAAUGUGCAAAUCACAUAAAAUUCCCCAAAUGUGCCAUGUUUGCAGAUACAUUUCUUAAUGCGCAAUGGAAACAAUUUCUACUUCGAUUUGUACUGCCUGAGCCAAUAUUCUUCAAUGUUAACAUUAAUAUACGAGGCACUCCAUUAUGAAAAUGUAUUUGAAAAAUCAUCAAGAAGACAAGGAAUGUGCAAAUGACAUACAAUUCCCAAGUGUGCCAUGGUUGCAGGUUCAUUUGUUAAUGCGUAAUUGUAGCAAUUUCGUUCGUAAAAGACUGAGUCUCGCUGUAUUGCUCAGGCCGAACUCCAGCGUCUAUUCACAGGUGCUAUCCAACUACUGAUCGAUACGGGGGCUUUGACCUGCUCCGUUUCCGACCUGGGCCGGUGCACCCCUCCUGAGACGACCUGGUGAUCUCGGGCUCCCCCAGGAGCACCAUAUCGACACCGAUCUUAGUGUGGACAUCCGCUCGUCAUAGCUCACUGCAGCCCCGAUCCCCUGAACUCAAACGAUCCGCCAGUCUCAGCCUCCCAGAUGCUUGGACUACAGGGGCACGCCACUGCUCCCGGCGAAAGCAGAGGCGCUGUGCAUUGGGUUUGGCUUUGGUUUUGGAUUAUGUCAGCAUGCCAGAUUACCGAAUGUGCUUGAAAAUGAGUCAUUGUUCUGGUGUUCUGGUUUUCUUUUUCGUCCGUGUUGGUUCUAUCUACUACCUGAGCCAACGGUAUUGAAUGUAAACAUUAAUAAACGAGGCACGCCAUUAUGAAAAUGUAUUGCAAAAAUCAUCAAGAUGACAAGGAAUGUGCAAAUCACAUAAAAUUCCCCAAAUGUGCCAUGUUUGCAGAUACAUUUCUUAAUGCGCAAUGGAAACAAUUUCUACUUCGAUUUGUACUGCCUGAGCCAAUAUUCUUCAAUGUUAACAUUAAUAUACGAGGCACUCCAUUAUGAAAAUGUAUUUGAAAAAUCAUCAAGAAGACAAGGAAUGUGCAAAUGACAUACAAUUCCCAAGUGUGCCAUGGUUGCAGGUUCAUUUGUUAAUGCGUAAUUGUAGCAAUUUCGUUCGUAAAAGACUGAGUCUCGCUGUAUUGCUCAGGCCGAACUCCAGCGUCUAUUCACAGGUGCUAUCCAACUACUGAUCGAUACGGGGGCUUUGACCUGCUCCGUUUCCGACCUGGGCCGGUGCACCCCUCCUGAGACGACCUGGUGAUCUCGGGCUCCCCCAGGAGCACCAUAUCGACACCGAUCUUAGUGUGGACAUCCGCUCGUCAUAGCUCACUGCAGCCCCGAUCCCCUGAACUCAAACGAUCCGCCAGUCUCAGCCUCCCAGAUGCUUGGACUACAGGGGCACGCCACUGCUCCCGGCGAAAGCAGAGGCGCUGUGCAUUGGGUUUGGCUUUGGUUUUGGAUUAUGUCAGCAUGCCAGAUUACCGAAUGUGCUUGAAAAUGAGUCAUUGUUCUGGUUAAAAUAAAAAUAUCCAACAACAUUUUCAGAUUCAAUGCAAGAGGUUUUCUUUUUCGUCCGUGUUGGUUCUAUCUACUACCUGAGCCAACGGUAUUGAAUGUAAACAUUAAUAAACGAGGCACGCCAUUAUGAAAAUGUAUUGCAAAAAUCAUCAAGAUGACAAGGAAUGUGCAAAUCACAUAAAAUUCCCCAAAUGUGCCAUGUUUGCAGAUACAUUUCUUAAUGCGCAAUGGAAACAAUUUCUACUUCGAUUUGUACUGCCUGAGCCAAUAUUCUUCAAUGUUAACAUUAAUAUACGAGGCACUCCAUUAUGAAAAUGUAUUUGAAAAAUCAUCAAGAAGACAAGGAAUGUGCAAAUGACAUACAAUUCCCAAGUGUGCCAUGGUUGCAGGUUCAUUUGUUAAUGCGUAAUUGUAGCAAUUUCGUUCGUAAAAGACUGAGUCUCGCUGUAUUGCUCAGGCCGAACUCCAGCGUCUAUUCACAGGUGCUAUCCAACUACUGAUCGAUACGGGGGCUUUGACCUGCUCCGUUUCCGACCUGGGCCGGUGCACCCCUCCUGAGACGACCUGGUGAUCUCGGGCUCCCCCAGGAGCACCAUAUCGACACCGAUCUUAGUGUGGACAUCCGCUCGUCAUAGCUCACUGCAGCCCCGAUCCCCUGAACUCAAACGAUCCGCCAGUCUCAGCCUCCCAGAUGCUUGGACUACAGGGGCACGCCACUGCUCCCGGCGAAAGCAGAGGCGCUGUGCAUUGGGUUUGGCUUUGGUUUUGGAUUAUGUCAGCAUGCCAGAUUACCGAAUGUGCUUGAAAAUGAGUCAUUGUUCUGGUGUUCUGGUUUUCUUUUUCGUCCGUGUUGGUUCUAUCUACUACCUGAGCCAACGGUAUUGAAUGUAAACAUUAAUAAACGAGGCACGCCAUUAUGAAAAUGUAUUGCAAAAAUCAUCAAGAUGACAAGGAAUGUGCAAAUCACAUAAAAUUCCCCAAAUGUGCCAUGUUUGCAGAUACAUUUCUUAAUGCGCAAUGGAAACAAUUUCUACUUCGAUUUGUACUGCCUGAGCCAAUAUUCUUCAAUGUUAACAUUAAUAUACGAGGCACUCCAUUAUGAAAAUGUAUUUGAAAAAUCAUCAAGAAGACAAGGAAUGUGCAAAUGACAUACAAUUCCCAAGUGUGCCAUGGUUGCAGGUUCAUUUGUUAAUGCGUAAUUGUAGCAAUUUCGUUCGUAAAAGACUGAGUCUCGCUGUAUUGCUCAGGCCGAACUCCAGCGUCUAUUCACAGGUGCUAUCCAACUACUGAUCGAUACGGGGGCUUUGACCUGCUCCGUUUCCGACCUGGGCCGGUGCAC